CCAUCAGUGAGGUUGAUCCUUAUCUAUUCCUCCUUAUGGUGAAAUAGACAUGAUGAAUGGUUAAGGCUGAGUAUGUGGUUAUACAGAUCCCCUGCAUUGCCCUGACCGACAACUGGGGUGUGUGUCAUUCUGAU